GACAGAGGUCCCGAGCGUUAGGCGGAAUCACUGGGCUUAAAGCGUGUGUAGGCGGAUUUGUAAGUACCUUGUGAAAUCCCACGGCUCAACCGUGGAACUGCUUGGUAUACUGCUUAUCUUGGGCCAUCUAGGGGCUACCGGAACAAGUGGUGGAGCGGUGAAAUGCGCAGAUAUCAGGAAGAACACCUAUGGCGAAGGCAGCUCUCUGGGACGGUACUGACGCUGAGACGCGAAAGCGUGGGGAGCGAACAGG
rnacentral:rRNA from 1 species